GGCCUGGUUCAAACAAUAGCGUUAACUGUUUAUUAACAAGUUUAACUUAUGAGAAACAUGUCGCAAAAAUCUCCUUGUUUGCUCCUACAGAACAGGAUCUGAAAACGACCCUUCUGAGACAGGAAGAGAAGCCAACUCUUCUCCGCCACGAGAGUCACUAGCGGUCUCCCAGACUUGGGAGAGACACCACGUCUCUCUAGGCUAUGGUUCUUUCCAGUGUUCUGAGAUGCCACGUGGAACCCAGGGUUGUACAACUGUGGACCCAGCUUCCUCAGAUCUCCGCCCCCUCGCCUGCGACAACUGCAUCCUUUAACCCCUUGAAGAACCCGACAGAAGCUCAGUUCUCCCUAGUCCUGGUCCAGUCUAGCUUUCCGUCCAACUCCUGGCACGCGCGCAUCUCAACCAACCAAUAGCUAGAUGUGGCGCAACAGACGUCACAGAAUCCUAGAGAAAGGCGGCGCAUUCCAAUUAGAGUGUCAUUGUUUCUAUUGGCACAAUGGGAGACCCCGCCCCUCUCGGAGGACUCCAUUGUAUGCGGGAGGUAGGAGGGCCUCGCGGGUUCCACGCUAGCCAGCAGAAAUAAUCCAAAAGACGCGCUAUAUUGAUCAGCCUCCAAACUUGGCAUCGGUGAUGAGCUGCAACGCAAGGUGCAGGGGACUCAUUCAUUCUGACACCGAGACAGGAGUCAGGCCUAGGACCCCAGAACAUUGCCCUGGGUGCGGUUCCCCCGGCUGAGUGGUUACUACUUCAAACAGUCCAAGAACUCCUGGCCAAGACCUCUGGCCCGCCCCCAAAUGGUAGCUAUGACAUCACCAGCAACCAAUCAACGCAUUCUCUCGCUCCUGGGUUUCUUUGCUUCGGGGAGGUUUGGCUCACUCGGGUUGCACUGGACGAGGCUGCUGUGAUCUGACCCAUGGGUGGACUAUGUACAGCGGCACUAAAGAAAGUACUCCGUAGGAUUGUAGUUCCUGACUAGAGAAGAGAGGAGCGGGACCUGGUUUUGAAGCGCCCGCCGCUCUGUGGGUCCACAGACUAGCUAGUGGAAAGCGCAAAUCUCAGGUUGAACAAGGAGGAAACCAGCUGGAAUCACAGAGGAGACCCCUGAAUGACCUUAGGGAUCUGGACUUCCGGGCUGGUGACUGGCCUCCACCUUUGACGUCUCCGUGGCGUCUACUAGAGACGACAUUCGAGGCGGCUGCGGGGUAGUCGCUCCCAAUGCACUUCCUGGAAAGAGAAAAAUGAGGAGCCUAAAGGAGGUUCAGCUGGUGAAGGUGCUUGGUGUCCAAGCUUGAACGCCCGAGUUUGAUCCCUGGAUCCCAUGUAAGAGUGGAAGACCGACCCCACAAAGUUGUCCUCUGACAACCAUCCACACUUUCAAAUGAAAUGCUGUUGGUUCCUCCCUCUGCUUCCAAGACCAGCUUUGUCCCUACCUCCUAGGAACAAGUAAGACCUCCAGGUGGCCUUCUCAAUAGUUCCAAUUGCAGGGUCUACGCAGGUCUCAGAGACGCAGAUUUGAUGUGAGGCAAGACCAGACAGUAGUGAUGAGAGCUUCACGGGACCUAUCUUUUCUGUUAGAAUUUCCUUGUAGAAUGUGUGCACAUUCUGCACAUCAAGGCCCUGAGCUCAAUCCCCAGCACCAUAAACAAAAGAGAGACUCUGGUCUUGAUGUGGGGUCACAGACCUUUAAUCCUAGCACCCAAGAGACAGAGACUGGUAGAUCUCUGAGUUUGGGACCAGCCUUCGCUACAUAGUAAGAUCCUGUCUCAAAACAAAACAAGCACACAUAGAAUACUGGCUGUAUCUCCUCAGCUUUUCACUGGGCUAUAACCAAACUCAAAGUAGAACAUACUAUAUCUCACAUGUGGAGCUGUUGAGGACUGCUGUGGAAAAACACAUAAUUGUGUUAAUUGGUCUCAUUUUACAUGCAUGGCCACAGCGUUAGUAUGUUAGAGGACCUAGGCAAUCAGUGUGGUAGGGCAAGAAAACCAAUUGAAAAGAAUAUGGAGGUUAAGAUGGAAAAAUCGUGUCCACAGUCAAUAUGAUUGUGUAAGUAAAAAAAAAAUCCAAAGAAAGGGUGAGCACUUAGUGGAGUGCUUGCUUCUGUCUGAAGCCCUGGGGUAGAUCCUCAGCCCUGAACACACCAGCUGUAGCAGGCAGGCCUGGGAUCCUAGCACUCAGGAGGUAGAGGAAGGACGGUCAGAAGUUCAAGGUCUUCAGACACAGAGUUACCUGAGGGCCUGUUCUAAAAAUAAAAUUUAAAAAUCCAAGGGACACUAAAGGUGAUUGUCAUUUUGCUUGUGUAUUAGAUUUGUCUGAUGUGUAUGAGUGUAUUGCCUGCAUACGUGUAUGUGCCACACAUGUGUCUGGUGCGUGCAGAAGUCAAUAUAGGGCAUCAGAUUCCCCAAGAGGUAACGUUACAGAUGGCUGUGAACUGCCGUGUGAGUGCUGGUAACUGAAACCUGGGCAAUCUGCAAGAGCAACAAAUGCUCUUAACUCCAGCCUCACUAAAAGGAAGUUGUUAAAGUGAGCUUUAAAAAGUUGUUGGACAUGGGACUGGAGAAAUGGACCAAUUGUUUAGAGAACCUAUUAGUUUUGUUUUGUUUUGUUUUGUUUUGUUUUGUUUUGUUUUGUUUUGUGAU
rnacentral:lncRNA from 1 species